rnacentral:rRNA from 1 species
AUUGAACGCUGGCGGCAUGCUUUACACAUGCAAGUCGAACGGCAGCGCGGGCUUCGGCCUGGCGGCGAGUGGCGAACGGGUGAGUAAUACAUCGGAACGUGCCCAGUAGUGGGGGAUAGCUCGGCGAAAGCCGGAUUAAUACCGCAUACGACCUGAGGGUGAAGGCGGGGGAUCUUCGGACCUCGCGCUAUUGGAGCGGCCGAUGGCGGGUUGGCUAGUUGGUGGGGUAAAGGCCUACCAAGGCGACGAUCUGUAGCUGGUCUGAGAGGACGACCAGCCACAUUGGGACUGAGACACGGCCCAGACUCCUACGGGAGGCAGCAGUGGGGAAUUUUGGACAAUGGGCGAAAGCCUGAUCCAGCAAUGCCGCGUGUGUGAUGAAGGCCUUCGGGUUGUAAAGCACUUUUGGCGGGAACGAAAAGGACUGUGCCAAUACCACGGUUCGAUGACGGUACCCGCAGAAUAAGCACCGGCUAACUACGUG